GCAAGAAGCCCUUCUCCAGCCCUCCUCAAGGGAAAUAUGAGAGAUUCUAAAGAUGCUGCCAAUGUCUGGUUUCUGCUGAGGAAAGCGCAGCACUACACCCCAACCACAUGGACCAUCCUGUAACCUGAUGCAGAGAUGGAGGGUCGGGAGAAUUUGUUACCCUGGCUGUAUUCUGUACCUAGAGAUGAAAGGCAUUAUUCAGUCAUCUGGUGAUGGGCUGACUGCUAAUCGAGCUGUACUUUGCCAAUUCAUGAUUUCCAUCUAAAGUGAGGAAAAGAAAUUUCAACUGAUUGGCAAUAGAAGGGCCUCCUUCAACUUGCACUCCCAGCAUGAUGUAUUGUGCCAUCACAGGCCCAAAGCAACAGAGUCAAGUGAACAUGGACUGAAGCUCUCAAACUGUAACCCAAAAUAAAC